rnacentral:rRNA from 1 species
AACGAACGCUGGCGGCAGGCCUAACACAUGCAAGUCGAGCGCGCACUUCGGGGUUAGCGGCGGACGUGUGAGUAACGAGUGGGAACGUACCCUUUUCUACGGAGUAGCUUCGGUAAACUUAAAUUAAUACCAUAUAGGCCCUUUCGGGGAAGGAUGUACCGGAAAAGGAUCGGGCCUGGUAGGCUUAGGUGGUUGGUGGGGUAAUGGCCUAUCAUCCGGAGGAUCCUUAGCUGGUUUGAUAGGAUGAUCAGCCAGACUGGGACUGAGACACGGACCAGAAUCGGACGGGAGGGAGCAGUGGGGAAUAUUAGACAAUGGGGGCAAAUGUGAUCUAGCCAUGUGGGGUGAGAGAGGAAGGGCUUAGGGUUGUAAAGCUCUCUGAGCUGGGAAGAGAAUGACGGUAAUAGCAGAAGAAGCACCGGCUAACUCCGUG